rnacentral:misc_RNA from 1 species
AACUUUUGGCAACGGAUCUCUUGGCUCUCGCAUCGAUGACGAACGCAGCGAAAUGCGAUACGUAAUGUUAAUUGCAGAAUUCAGUGAAUCAUCGAAUCUUUGAACGCACAUUGCGCUCUCUGGUAUUCCGGAGAGCAUGCUUGUUUGAGUAUCCGUAAAACACCCUCAGUUCUCUUUUUGAGAACUGGACUUGAGUCAUCCCAACGGCGGUUUCAAAACUACUGGCGGGUCGCUUGAAAUGCAGGUGCGGCUGGACACAUCUUCUGAGCUAUAAGCCUUACUUAUUUAAUCCCGUCAGACGGAUUAUUUCUACUGCUACAGCUAACAUAAAGGUCGCUUGUCCGUUUGCCCGACUGAUGCAGAAAAAACAGAGAGAAAUCUUUGAUCACUCGAUCUCAAAUCAAGUAAGACUACCCGCUGAACUUAAGCAUAUCAAUAAGCGGAGGCU